GGCCUUUAUGAACAAAGAAUACAAUUGACAUAUAGAAAAGCUUCAGGGCAUAAACGAUUUUGAAAGAAACGUUGUCAGAGGCAUCUACUAAAUGUCUACCCAUUUGGAAGACUAAAAGGUAUUCUCCUAGUCAGUAGUAGCAUUAUUUUCAAUCGUUUCGGUGUUUUGCUUUUCAGUUUUUUGUCGUUACAGCUGGGCCCUUGAAGGUACAUAUGAAGAUACUACUCACCACCAAAGUCAGACACUUUUGCUCCUCUGAUGGCGAGGACAGGAUUCUUACCAGCAUGCUCUUCGAACUUCUCAGCCUGUUGUCAUUCAAAAACAAAGUACUGUCACAGGUAGCCCAGGCAGUGGUUUCGAAGCUUGUUCGUAGCUUGGAAUCGGCUGUUAUUCUUAGAGGUAAAACAAAGGGAUUAAAGUAGUGAUUUUUUAUAACGAAUGGUGUUAGAGCUAUAGGGUUGGGAUAACCAUGUGCAUUACUUUCCCUUUUUAAAAAAACAUAAUUAUUCAUUUCUUGUUUUGUUUUUCUAAAGAAAAAGAGGAAAAUAUUGGUUGAAAAGAACAGUGCACUUUACCUCAUCUCCCCAGAGUGUUGCAGUCACACUUUUCUCAGAUCUGUCCAACAGGGUAAUAUCACGCUUGGACACCUGCAGAUACAUCAUAUCAGUAAUAUACCAUUUUUGAAGCCGGGGAAACAUAACAAGCUUUUUCAUGAACUGUAUUAUUUCUUAGAAAUAUAACAAAAUAACAAUAGAUGUACCUGCUUGUUUGUAGUUUUUGUCGUGAUUUGGGCUAAGUCUCCAACGUUUGUAACAACACCCAAGAUAUCUGAAUGAAAAAUAACUGUGUCAGAAUAACAGUUCCACUGUUGUGAAACUAUACUCUUUAAGUAAAGAAGGGUCUUACCAA